GGGCCCGUAGCUCAACGGUCAGAGCAACCGGCUCAUAACCGGUUGGUUGCAGGUUCGAAUCCUGCCGGGCCCACCA
rnacentral:tRNA from 1 species